rnacentral:rRNA from 1 species
UACAGAGGAGCCAAGCGUUGUCCGGAUUGACUGGGCGGAAAGCGCACGCAGGCGGUCUGGCGCGUGGGGUGUGAAAUCUGGCCGCUUAACGGCCAGGGGCCAUCCCAUACGGCGGGUCUGGAGCGAUGCAGAGGUCGGUGGAAUUGCCGGUGUAGUGGUGAAAUGCGUAGAUAUCGAGAGGAACACCUGCGGCGAAGGCGGGUUGCUGGGCCGACACUGACGCUGAGGCGCGAAAGCCAGGGGAGCGAACGGG